rnacentral:misc_RNA from 1 species
CAACCCUCAGGCCUAGCCUGGUGUUGGGGCCCUGUGUUUGAAUCCGCAGGCCCUGAAAUUUAGUGGCGGGCCCAGUCGUAACCCGAGCGCAGUACUUCUCUCGCUCAGGGGCGCGGCCGGUGCCUUGCCUCGCACAGAAUUUAUUCUU